GAUUAAGUAUAUUGGUAGGGACUGACUAGUAUAUUCCAAGGGAACAAGGAUGGACUAGUAUAAUGGAGUAAGGAUGGAUGAGUAUAUAGGUAUGGAUCAAGGAUGGACAAGUACAUAAGUAUCGAUCAAGGAUGGACUAGUACAUAGGUAUCGAUCAGGGAUGGACAAGUACAUAGGUAUCGCUCAAGGAUGGACUAGUACAUAGGUAUCGCUCAAGGAUGGACUAGUACAUAGGUAUCGAUCAAGGAUGGACAAGUACAUAGGUAUCGAUCAAGGAUGGACUAGUACAUAGGUAUCGCUCAAGGAUGGACUAGUACAUAGGUAUCGAUCAAGGAUGGACAAGUACAUAGGUAUCGAUCAAGGAUGGGCAAGUACAUAGGUAUCGAUCAAGUCCAAUAUAAAAUAUAAAACAUGCUAUGUUUUAUAUAGCACAUCAUCAGUCCAACUGGCCAACUGAUGAUGAUCCACAUUCCCAAAGGUAAUGGUCACAGUCCAAUAUCGUUUAAUCACAGCAGCCCAAGAGAAAAAGUAUUCAUGAGUCAGACUGCACAGUUGUUUGUUUGUUCUUUAACACAGCAAUAUUCCAGCUAUAUGGCGGCUGUCUGUAACUAAUCAAGUCUGGAUCAGACAAUCCAGUGAUCAGUAUCAUGAGCAUCGAUCUAUGCAAUUGGGAUACGAUGACAUGUGCCUGACCACCCCAUCCCGUUAGUCACCUCAUACGACAAGCAUGGGUUGCUGAAGACCAAUUUUAACCUGAAGUCAGACUGCAUAGAUACUGUUAGGAAAUGUUGAAGGAUUAGAUGGAGCUGCUGAUGCAAUAUUCACCACUUUUGAUGCAUUAUUUAGCCACUGUUUUGAGGGUGGCAUUAGAAUGUUCUUUCAGGAUAUGAUAUGUCUGUGUAUGUGCCAAAGUUUCUUUUUGAGUUUGUAAAAUCAUUUGCUACCUGUGUAUGUUUUCAUUGCAGUAUUUCAUAUCAAUGAGGGCAAGUAUUCUUACUUUCCUUGUUCAUACAUGUUUGAACUUGUAAAUAUAUACUAGAAAAAGUGCUAUAUAAAACAUGAUUAUUCUG